UACCACUUUUGUGUUGUUUUGUGAGUUUU
rnacentral:piRNA from 1 species